rnacentral:lncRNA from 1 species
UAUGAUGCAGGACCGCAGAGAACAGGCCAGACAGGAUCUGAAAGGCUUGGAGGAGACUGUGGCCAAAGAGCUGCAGACUCUGCACAACCUCAGGAAAUUGUUUGUUCAGGAUCUGGCGACUCGUGUGAAGAAGGUAGGAGUCGAUCUGUUGCGCAUCUUCCUUUUCAUAUCUAUUUUUGCAUUCAUAUUCUGUGAAUGCAAACUUAAUUCAGCCAUUUAGGUCAGUGUAAAUCCAUAUGCUUUCUUUUUAAGCAGUUGACUUGGUGGAUAUUUUAAUUGAAGGGUUAUUUUGUUUUUUGUUUUUUUUUGUUCUUGGGUGUAGUAGUUGCAGAGAUGGACUCUGAUUGAAACUGGUGGCAGUGCUGCUUCAGAAGCAAAAGAUCUCUUUCCUGGAGAACAAUCUAGAACAACUCACCAAGGUCCACAAACAGGUAAAUCCAAACCUGAAAAGUCCUGAUACUCUUACUUUAGAUUGCCAGUUUUAGUGUGUUUAAUUGGCACGACAGAUUCAUAUUGGCAAAGCAUUUUCAUGAAAUAAAGCCAAAUAAAAAUUGUGCAAAACAACAUGCAUUAUCAAAUUAAAGAAAAACAAUUACAUAAUGCUGUGUGAUUGACAAAGAAUCGAAAGUGAUUGUUAAAAAAAAAUCUCUCUUACUCAUUGGUGUCUUUCUUUCACUCUUCUGUAGCUGGUGCGUGAUAAUGCUGACCUGCGCUGUGAGCUUCCUAAACUGGAGAAGCGUCUGCGGGCGACGGCGGAGCGUGUGAAGGCUCUAGAGUCAGCACUCAAAGAGGCCAAAGAGAACGCGGCCCGUGAUCGCAAGCGCUACCAGACAGAGGUGGACCGCAUUAAAGAGGCCGUGAGAGCCAAAAACAUGGCCCGCAGAGGACACUCCGCACAGAUAGCUAAACCCAUCAGGCCUGGUCAGCAACCUGUAGCUUCUCCUACACACCCCAAUGUGCUGCGUGGAGGUGGUGGCGUGCUCUACCAGAACAGCCAACCUAUGCCUAUCAGAGGAGGUGGCGCUAAACAAGAGAAGAGCUGAAGAUGAGUUUUUUUUUUUUUCCCUCACUACCGAAGAUGCAAGAACGCAAGAAGUCUUCACGGAAAUCUGUCAUUCCAUUAAUAUAAUCCCUCCUGCUGGUGCACAUGGGAGGGCGUCUGAAUGGAAAUAUUCAUGGCUGUACAGUUCCACUCCUCAUCUUUUUUUUUUUUGUCCAAAGCAAAUGAUUUUAUAAAUAUUGCACCCUCACACAUGCACCAAACAUGAUAAAAAGGAAAUCUAGAAAUAAAUGUAAACAAAGUGAACAGUUGACACAGAAGCCAGUGCAAUCAGCUCUAAUCAGCCUUCAGCUGCUCUCUGCACACCUGUAACCUCUGAUUAAACUACUGCCUGAUUACUUUGCAAAAGACCUCGCUCCUGGCUUGACUUCAUACAGGUCAGCAUCUAGACUGCAGCAAGCUUGAAUAGAAAAAUCCCUGAAUAGAGAGUAUCCAAGCGCGCUCUGCAGCGGAUUGCCUGUAUCACUACAAACUCAGAUAUUUUGCUGUUUGAAAGUACUCUAAACAGAUUCAGUUCUGAAACCCAAUGGGUUUUACUUUCUGUAGUAACUAAUGGUUCUAAAGGGGAUGGUGGAGAGGAUUGUAGUAACCAGGCCUUACACAGCAGGCUAAUGCUGGAAGUAUCUCAAUGUAAACUUAUGAUUACAAAGGCUAAUGGUUCAUUUUUGUUGUUGUUGUUUUCGCUAAACAGUUGAAGGUUGUCCUGUCCUGCUUUUCACACAGUUCACAUUGUGCAUAUCUAAAUUUUUAUUUUGAGAGUAAGUAAUGUCUGCAUUUAAGAUGCCUAUGUGUUAUUCUUUUUUCUGCCUGUAUCCUCACCAAUACAUCAAUUUUUAUUUGGACCUGUAUGUUUAAGUGUAGAAGUAGAAGUCCAUGUGACAUCACUGCUUGCUUGCUCGCUCUGCCACUGUUACUGAUCAGCCAAUCAGUUUAGCAGAACAUUGGUGUGCAUGGGCUUAUGUUUCAUACCUUAAUAACUUACAUCUCCUUGAGGACAUUGCAGACAUUAGUUAAUUAAUUUGAAUUUAAGUUAGAUUUGUGUGUGUGUGUGUGUGUGUGUGUGUGUGUGGAGGUUAUGGGUCCUAAUUUGGAUCAUUAUUUUCAAGAUAAAUAAAUGUUAUUGUUUAGACUUUACACUCCUGAUAUUGUUAAAGGAAAGCUUAUGAAUUGUGAAUUACAGGACAUGACAACCUUCAGUUUCACUUUCAACUGUAUCUUGUAUGCUUUCUGGGUGUUUUGUACCUUUAAGAGACGUCACAAGGACCAUUUAGAGCGCAGUUGUGUUAUUAGCCCUAAAUUCUUCCCUUUUCAGUGCAUGAAGGAUAAUUAAUUUACGUUCAUGGGAAUGCCACACAUUCAAUGAAACUUAAAAUAAAAAAUAGCAAAUUUUUUUAUUACUGUGUAAUAGUAACUCCAUGACUUAUUGACAGAAUUCCACCAAUGGACAACAGCUCUGGAUCAUUCCAACAGUACAAGAUGUUUUUGGAAGAUUCUGGUUGAAGGAAAAGAGUGGGGAUGAAAUUACUGAUGACACUUUCUUUCUGGAUGAACUGCAUGACGUGUAUGUGUGAUUAAAACAAUAUUCUGAAACAUGAUGUGUCUUGUGUAUUUUUGGGGGGGGUGAUUUAUUUACUUAUCAUUUUGAUUGCAUCAUGACUUAAGACUACCAACAUGGUGAUCACGCUCUUCAUGUAGAUGACAAUUAAUUUUUUUUUCUUUGCCGUUCACACAGAUUUUUAUCUGCCAUUUUUAUUCAUUAAAAAUGUAAUUAAUAAAAUAUAAAAACUUUAUUUGUGAACAGUUGCAUUGUUAUUGUCUCUAAGUUAAAAGUGUGGGAAAAUAAGGUAAAGGUAACUGUUUUGUUUUUUUGCUCUGUCGAUUUUGGAGUAUGACAGCAUAAUUACAUUAAAUUGGAAUAAAAAUCAAAGUUUAUUUAGUUAAAUAGUUAUCUAGUUAUAUUUAUACAUUUUAGAGGUUUUAUUUUUGUAUGUUUUUUUUAUAUUGAGAGCCAUAAAAGGACCCCCUGUACUGCAUUUCGUUGCCUUGUACCCACAUGUGCAAUGACAAUAAAGUUGAAUCUAAUCUAAUCUAAUCUAAUAAAAAAAAAAAAAAAAAAAGAUUUUUAUAAUAUGUGUACAGUGCAACAGCAAAGAUCUUUUUAAAUUUUAGAGAAGCCAAGUUGUGAUAACGAACAGGACCACAUGGAGAUGCCAAAAAACAAACAAACAAACAAACAAACAAACAAACAAACACAAAAAACUAAACCAAAUGCCUACUGACUGCAUAUAUUUACUACUCUAGACAAAUCCAUUCAUUAUCAUGAAUGUGUGUGAAAACAAUUUGAAUGUACAGAAAUGUCUGUGCUGUGCAUAAAUACAAUGUGCGAUCAGUGUGUCAAGAGCACUCAUACACACAUUAUUAUAACGGACUCACGCAUGCUUACUGUACGACUCCUGUACGCCACAGCAAUCACCUUUACCUUGACUGCAUUCUUCAUCCAUCAAAACUUUACUAGCGAGACUGGUUAUCCAGUCGAGAAACCGUAGUUUGCAUCUCAUCUGACCAUACAGUUGUGGGAUGUGUUGACAAUCUGUUCAGUCUGUACAUCACACAGCGCAUGAGACGUGUGAGUACUCGCGCUCUUCAGAGACAAUCACAGAAUAUGACAGAGCUCUGCAAUCUCUGAUGUAAUCAGCCUGGUUUCCUUUAUAUUAGUGCUGUUUUGGAUGGAUUGUUUGAAUGCAUUCACUUCCUGGAUCAUUGGACUGAAAACUUUCCCGCAGUUUAGCAGCUUAAAAUGAUCUGAUCACAAGCAGAGAAGCAAAAUUGGGUUAAAGGGUUAGAAUAGAAAUAGCGCUUCAGUAAUUCUGUGUUAACUGCGUUAAAUUAUUUUUACGUGUUAAGGAUUGUAAAAAUAAUCGCAUGAAUUAACUCGUUAAUGAUGACAGCCCUAAUUGUAAUGUUAGGAGGCAUAACAACACAGUAGUGGAUCCAAGUGCAGGCUUUAUUUAAAAGAGUGGUCAAACAGGCAGGGUCACACGUCAUCAAACAGGUAUAAUCCAGGGGGAGAGACAAAAGAGUAAUCCACAAAACAGGCAAAGGUCAGGGCAGGCAGCAAACAAUCAAAAAUGAGGUAAACAGUCCAAGGACAAGAGACGAGGCAAGAAAACAAGGGAACUAGGAAACACAAAAGACAUAGGAAAAAGGGAAUGCUACAGGCUAACAAUACUGAGCCAUGAAUAAGUGAAACACCAGGCUUUUAAUAGGAUGAGGCUGAUGGCGAUAACAAGACAGAGGUGAAUGCAAUCAGUACUGAGUCCAGGCAAAGGAUUAUGGGAAAUGGAGUCCGGGGUGAAUGGAAAAGGUACAGGAUGGAGUGCCCUCAAGUGGAGCUUGUGGUCACUCCAGCUGGCAAUCAUUACACAGCCCUUGAGUGCCAGAUUGAUGUAAAACUCCAGAGUCCAGUGAGGAUCAUGCACAGGCAUGAGUGAGCUGAGAGGCUCAGAUAGCCCACCAUGAAAAAAUAUCAUCAGGCAUACCUGGUCAAAAAGUGUUAAAUGAGCCAGUCCAAUAAAUUUCAAAGUAAAUGAAGCUUUGUUGCCGUUCACAAGUGUUUAGACUGACAGGUGGCAAAAUACAAAUCUCACAAUGUAACAAAUGUGACACAUUGUGGCUUGAUUUAUUUUAUUAAUGUUCACUUCUUAUGUCCAAAAUAACCUAUAUAUUAUUCACGACGAGGAGCUUAAAGUUUACAAAACCAAGCUCAUGUAGUUUUCAGACACUUUAAAAACUCAACUCAUCAUAAAAAAAAAAAAAUAAAAAAAAAAUACAACUAUAAAAAUAAUGUAAUUGGUCUUACAAAGAUGUGGACACAUUUUAUUGUUUGACAUAAACAACAUAGGUUAUCAUUCGUAAAUCGUCAAGGCAGAGCAACACAUGCAAGUGACCACUGUCAGAGUGGACACAGGUGUCUAAAUGUUUUGAAGCCUUGACAGCAUUCGGCACAUUUGCUUCAAUUGUUUUAGUGAUUCAUGAAGCCUCGCUCUGCCCAUCACUAAGGACAGCUAGCAAACAAUCAAAAAUGAGGUAAACAGUAGUGAUGUUCAG